CAAGCCUCUUUAAAGAAAUAACUGAUUCCAGGGCUGCUUCAGAGAAACAACAGGUGAACCCAGAACAUCAUGUAGUACCAAAAAGUGAGGAAGUGCUCAAAGAACAAGACUCCAGCUUAUAGAAAUAACUCAGGGUCAAAAUUCUGUGCCAAAUAUACCAUCUCAGUGAAAAGAAAUCCUGAGGUACCCAAGUGGAAACCAACUUAAGGUUACCAUCUCAACCCAAACCCAGCAAGAGGGGAAGUGCUCUGCAAAUGAGAGCUACCUCAGGUCAGAGCUGAUUCCCAUACUGCCAAUGCCUCUGGGUGCCUCAAUGCCAUGCAAACUGAUCAAUCACCACCACAGCACCGGAGUAGAUCUGAGUAUAGUGGAAGCAUGAAGCCUGUUAGAAAUUGCUCCUGCCCAAGAAUUUAUACUCAUCAAAUUUAUACCCAGAGAGCUGGACAGGUUGAUGCCACAAGUAAGCCAAGCUCUGUUUUUGGACUGCCUGUGUGGAAAAGCCUCUGAAUACUUCAGCAUUAAAUGAUGAUGAUGAUGAUGAUGAUGAUGAUGAUGAUAAAUUUGAAUAUAUCAUGUCAUAUUCAAUCAUCACCACAAAUAUAUGAAAGUAACUUUUAUUAUUUCUAUUUUCCACAUAAGAAA